rnacentral:rRNA from 1 species
UGUGGUGUUCAUACUAAUAGUGGAUAUACCUGUUCCCAUCCCGAACACAGAAGUCAAGCACUAUUGGGCCGAAGGUAGUUAACGCAAGAAUAGGUUAUGCCACGC